rnacentral:lncRNA from 1 species
UUUUUUUUUUCUUUCCUAUUUUAGUUCUCUUGACCUAUCAUAAAAGCCUACACUCCAGCUAAAAAGAGAAGAAGUAAUAAUACAAUACCAUGCAACUUUCAUUAGGUUGGAGGAUGCUUUCUAGCACACAUCUCCUUACCUGCUUCCCAAUGUUUAUAUAAUGCAAAGCCAUUAAAGGUCCCCCUGCACUUAGGCAUUCUAUGAAGAGAAAGCCUGUAAAGUCACAUCUCACCAGAAUCCAAAUAAUUUUGCCAACUAUGGCCAUGCCCAGAAUAAACUUAAUCUUCUAAGGGAAGCUGUCAUACAUUGGACUGAGAUAGAUAUACAUAUAAAUGUUCAAAUAUGUAAGAUUUUCCAAGUUAUUUGGCUUUUAGGGACUCAUCUCCACCAUUUGAGGCCAGCAAGCUAACUUGUAUCCUUGAAUAUCUGAUCACAAUGAAAUUCGCUAGAAAAAUCUCCACAGUAACUUAUCUCUGGAUAAUGAGAAAGGGAGUCCAUCUUGGAAGAGUCCAUGACUCCAUAGAUAAAGGAGGCACCCCAACAUCAGAACAAGGCUGUUGUUCACACCUGAGCCAGUUGACGCUUUACAUUCUCUUCAACAGCCAAGGAAGGGAGAAGGAAGAGGGAGAGGUUUGGACCAUGGUGUGUCCUAGUUCUGAGACAGAAUGCCCAUUCCUUCAAUCUGGCACCUCCUCUUGCUAUAAAGCCAAGAGGAGACGUGCAUCAUAAGGAGCAUUAAGCAAAUGCAGAGGAUCUUACCCAGACACAUAUAACAACAAACUCACCCUGCAAUGGUAGUGCUGCCAUGAAUGGCCAUUUUGAGUUGAAACCUAGAAAACUGUUAUGUCCCUUUGGUGACCCUGGAGGUCAUAUCGGGUUGACCCUGAUAGAAUGACACAAACUCCAGAAUCUAUCCUUAAGGUCCCUAAGAGAAGAUUUAGCAUAUUGGACAUGGAAAAAAGUCAUACUGGGCAUGGAGAGAAUCCUUGGAAAUGUUCUGCUAACAUCGUUUACAAGAACAAAACUGAUGAUAUGUCAAGAUAAAGCGAGAGAAAAUGCCACAUGCUACACUAACUUCCCAGACAGCAAAGUUAAUGAGUUGCAGAUCACGAGCACCUCAAUGUAAAACCACAGUGUGUGCAUGUUAUGAAAUUACUCUACAAAAGAUUACUUAAGCAAAUUUACAAUGAAAAACAACAUCAAAACACCAAGGAAGUGGAAUGAAUAUAAAUACGAAGCACACUUAAACACCUAGGAUGUCUUAUUUUAAGAAGGAAAAAAAAAAAAAAGAUCUUCAACCUUCAACAAUGACUUUUUCAAACUACAAAGCAAGAUCAAAUACACAUCCAGAUUGUCUUUGUAACAAUAUAUAUUUUACACAAGCAAAUAAGCCCAACCACAGAAAAUUGAUCUUCAAUUGCCCUGCAGCCAAGCAGACAGCGUGCAAAAAUCCAUCCGUGGGCACUCUUCAAAGGGUCCAAGUGAAAACACAACACCUGGAGAUGAACAAGAAAAAUUUAAAUGGGGCCUGUGGGUCUCCAAAGAGCAGUUUUUAACUGGCCCAUAAGCUAAUAAGAGCGGAUAUAAACUGUGAACAACCAAUGCCCUAUCAGGAGGAACAUUUAUCACACUAACACGCCCGUAAAGUGGAGAGGGCUCAUCCACAUGCUCUCUGCAGUUUCUAUUAGAAUGUUAAUUGUUCAAACUGAAGAAAAGGAGACAUAAGGAAUGGCUUUUCCCAUCAUGUGUUAAGUUGAUUUUUGUUCCUCUGACCAGCUCCCAAGGGGCAGGAGGCUAAUGACUAUUCUUCAUCAUCAACUGCAAAGGAUAUUUACAUCCAUCCUGUAACCAUGACAGCUGUGUCACUAAUUCCCUAACUGCCUCCACAACGUGAACCAAUCAUCUGGCAUGAAGCUGCAAGAUGGAGUGCCCUGCAGUCAUUAUUCACCAAGCACUUUCAUUAACAAACUGCCCUUAAUUACAGCGGUAAUUGCAAAAUUAUUUCAUAGCAGCAAUUAUUUUUCUCAGCCAAUCCAGGCUAUUUAAGUAGGACAUUGCCUAUGAAAAUGGCAAAAGGCCAAGUAAUCUAUGACCAAAGAUAUGUUUUAAUUGUACUACAAACUUAGUUUCAAAAUAUUGCAUCAGAGGGCUUUGAAAUUAUAUUACACAUCCCAUUACAUACUCCAUACACACACUCCCACAAAUAAAGCUAGGCUUCUCUACUUCUUCAAUUUGAAAGCAAAAUGCAUUUGUAACAUACACAUUAAGUACCUAAACUAAUACUAUUGUCUAGCAAAAUAAAAAUAGUGAGUUUCUAGAUCUACACCUGUAUUUUGAGACUUGCCAAACACACUAACCCAUCUAUUAGACAUCAACUCCAACCCACAUCCCACACCCACCUACGAGAUAAGAAGUGCUGGUAUACCUAUCUACUCGUUGGCUUCAUAAAGCAAGUCAUAAAGAAGUUUCCAGCAAUCACACCUUGAUUUUUGGAUUAUAGGCUGAAAUACAUCUAUGCUUAUUAGUUUCCUCAUGUUUCAACUUGAGAAUUCUUCAACAUUUAUCCUGAAGAUGAAACUAUAGUCACAAUGUCCUAUUUGGGGUUUUCAGAGAAGUCAGAGAACAAGAAAUAUGUGGAGAUGAGGGAGAUGUGGUUGAGUCAAAAUAAAGCUGUGAACACCACAGUCCGACUACAGGAACACUUGAAUACUAUUCUAAGGAGUUUGGAUAUGAUCUGGUAGAUGGUAAAGGUCUGUUGAAGGCAAGGGAUCAAGACAGCGUGAGUUCAAAGAGCAGCAAUGAACCUGGAACAACAAGGUAGGGAAAUCCACUGUUUUCCAGGUAGAAUCUGACUUGGUGAUUGUUGGGUACAGACAAUAAUAAAGCUAUUCAGAGACUGCUCUGAGGUUUCCAGCCUGGAAGAAGACACAGAUGGUGCUAGAGAAUGCAAUAAAGAUCAGUAAUACAUUUGAACAUUUUAAGCUUUAGGUAUCUAUAGGAUAUCGACCUAGAGAUAUUCAAGGAAGUAGCUAGAAAGCAUAAUUAACAUUUACUGCUUAUUAUACGCUAGGCACAGUGCUAAAUGCAUUAGAUAUAUAAGCUCACUUGAUACUCAAAACAGUGAGAUCUAUGGAUUAGAUCCUAUUUUUACAACCAUUUUUAAAGACAAGGAAGCUGAGGCUCAACGGUAUUAAAUUGCUCAAGGUCACGAUGGCAGAAAAUGCUAGAUGCUUAGCAAAUAUUCACUCUUCCCUUUGCCCUUGGUAACAGAACGCUUCUUUUUUAACUGUCCAGGGUAAAGAUAACAUUUCCUACCUUCCUCACAUCUAGGUCAUGCGCUGUAAGUGGAAGUGUCAUGUGGGAUGAGGGGGAAUAAAACAACACAAACAACAACAACUUGUGCUGCUGGGAGGAGCUCUUGUCUUUCCUGGUGUCCAAGAGGCAGCCAUACCAUCUGGAACUCCAGCAAUCACCUCCCA